rnacentral:rRNA from 1 species
UACGGGGGGAGCAAGCGUUGUUCGGAUUUACUGGGCGUAAAGGGCGCGUAGGCGGUCAGCACAAGUCAGUUGUGAAAUCUCCGAGCUUAACUCGGAAAGGUCAACUGAUACUGUGCGACUAGAGUGCAGAAGGGGCAACUGGAAUUCUUGGUGUAGCGGUGAAAUGCGUAGAUAUCAAGAGGAACACCUGCGGCGAAGGCGGGUUGCUGGGCUGACACUGACGCUGAGACGCGAAAAGCGUGGGGAGCGAACAGG